rnacentral:misc_RNA from 1 species
UAGAGUUUUACAACUCCCAAACCCACUGUGAACCUUAUCAUCUGUUGCUUCGGCGGGCACGCCCCGGGCGCCCAGGCGUCCCGGACCCAGGCGCCCGCCGGAGACCCCAAACUCUUGGUUUUAUACUUGGCUUCUGAGUGGCGUAAUGCAAAACAAAAUAAAUCA